GGCACUUUGGCGGAGUGGUUAACGCGCCAGCCUGCUAAAUUAGUGCGUGAGUUCGAAUCUCACAGGUGUCG
rnacentral:tRNA from 1 species